GACGAACGCUGGCGGCGUGCUUAACACAUGCAAGUCGAACGGUAAGGCCCUUCGGGGUACACGAGUGGCGAGCGGGUGAGUAACACGUGGGUGAUCUGCCCUGCACUUCGGGAUAAGCCUGGGAAACUGGGUCUAACACCGGAUAGGACCACUGCCUGCAUGGGUGGUGGUGGAAAGCUUUUGCGGGGUGGGAUGGGCCCGCGGCCUAUCAGCUUGUUGGUGGGGUGAUGGCCUACCAAGGCGACGACGGGUAGCCGGCCUGAGAGGGUGACCGGCCACACUGGGACUGAGAUACGGCCCAGACUCCUACGGGAGGCAGCAGUGGGGAAUAUUGCACAAUGGGCGCAAGCCUGAUGCAGCGACGCCGCGUGAGGGAUGACGGCCUUCGGGUUGUAAACCUCUUUCAGCACCGACGAAGCGCAAGUGACGGUAGGUGCAGAAGAAGGACCGGUCAACUACGUGCCAGCCGCCGCCGUAA
rnacentral:rRNA from 1 species